ensembl:lncRNA
CAGGUUAGGUGAUAUGGAAACAGGUGAGGAGGCUGGGUACUGGGGUUAGGUGGUAUGGAAACAGGUGAGGAGGCUGGGUACCCAGGUUAGGUGAUAUGGAAACAGGUGAGGGGGCUGGGUACCCAGGUUAGGUGAUAUGGAAACAGGUGAGGAGGCUGGGUACCCAGGUUAGGUGGUAUGGAAACAGGUCAGGGGGCUGGGUACCCAGGUUAGGUGGUAUGGAAACAGGUGAGGAGGCUGGGUACCCAGGUUAGGUGGUAUGGAAACAGGUGAGGGGGCAGGGUACCCAGGUUAGGUGGUAUGGAAACAGGUGAGGAGGCUGGGUACCCAGGUUAGGUGGUAUGGAAACAGGUGAGGAGGCUGGGUACCCAGGUUAGGUGGUAUGGAAACAGGUGAGGGGGAUGGGUACCCAGGUUAGGUGGUAUGGAAACAGGUGAGGGGGCUGGGUAACCAGGUUAGGUGGUAUGGAAACAGGUGAGGGGAUGGGUACUGGGGUUAGGGGGUAUGGAAACAGGUGAGGAGGCUUGGUACUGGGGUUAGGUGGUAUGGAAACAGGUGAGGAGGCUUGGUACCCAGGUUAGGUGAUAUGGAAACAGGUGAGGGGGCUGG